GAUGAACGCUAGCGACAGGCUUAACACAUGCAAGUCGAGGGGCAGCACGAUGUAGCAAUACAUUGGUGGCGACCGGCGCACGGGUGCGUAACACGUAUGCAACCUACCCAUAAGCGGGGAAUAACCCGGAGAAAUCCGGACUAAUACCGCAUAGUACGUUUGAGUGGCAUCACUUAAACUUUAAAGAUUUAUCACUUAUGGAUGGGCAUGCGCAUGAUUAGAUAGUAGGCGGGGUAACGGCCCACCUAGUCAACGAUCAUUAGGGGUUCUGAGAGGAAGGUCCCCCACAUUGGUACUGAGACACGGACCAGACUCCUACGGGAGGCAGCAGUGAGGAAUCUUGGUCAAUGGACGGAAGUCUGAACCAGCCAUGUCGCGUGAAGGAGGACGGCCCUAAGGGUUGUAAACUUCUUUUGCAGGGGAAUAAAGUAUUCCACGAGAUGGGAUAUUGCAAGUACGCUGCGAAUAAGGAUCGGCUAACUCCCGUGCCCAGCAGCCGAC
rnacentral:rRNA from 1 species